UACGUAGGGGGCAAGCGUUUGUCCGGAUUUAUUGGGCGUAAAGAGCGUGUAGGCGGCUUUACAGGUCCGUUGUGAAAACUCGAGGCUCAACCUCGAGACGCCGGUGGAAACCGUAAGGCUAGAGUCCGGAAGAGGAGAGUGGAAUUCCUGGUGUAGCGGUGAAAUGCGCAGAUAUCAGGAGGAACACCAAUGGCGAAGGCAGCUCGCUGGGACGUGACUGACGCUGAGACGCGAAAGCGUGGGGGAGCAAACAGG
rnacentral:rRNA from 1 species